GACGAACGCUGGCGGCGUGCUUAACACAUGCAAGUCGAACGGAAAGGCCCUGCUUUUGUGGGGUGCUCGAGUGGCGAACGGGUGAGUAACACGUGAGUAACCUGCCCUUGACUUUGGGAUAACUUCAGGAAACUGGGGCUAAUACCGGAUAGGAGCUCCUGCUGCAUGGUGGGGGUUGGAAAGUUUCGGCGGUUGGGGAUGGACUCGCGGCUUAUCAGCUUGUUGGUGGGGUAGUGGCUUACCAAGGCUUUGACGGGUAGCCGGCCUGAGAGGGUGACCGGCCACAUUGGGACUGAGAUACGGCCCAGACUCCUACGGGAGGGAGCAGUGGGGAAUAUUGCACAAUGGGCGGAAGCCUGAUGCAGCAACGCCGCGUGCGGGAUGACGGCCUUCGGGUUGUAUACCGCUUUCGCCUGUGACGAAGCGUGAGUGACGGUAAUGGGUAAAGAAGCACCGGCUAACUACGUG
rnacentral:rRNA from 1 species